GUAGCGCGGUGGUCCCACCUGACCCCAUGCCGAACUCAGAAGUGAAACGCCGUAGCGCCGAUGGUAGUGUGGGGUCUCCCCAUGCGAGAGUAGGGAACUGCCA
rnacentral:rRNA from 1 species